rnacentral:rRNA from 1 species
UACAGGGGGUGCAAACGUUGCUCGGAAUCAUUGGGCGUAAAGCGCACGUAGGCGGUUUGUUAUGUCGGAUGUGAAAGCCCUUGGCUCAACUGAGGAAGUGCAUCCGAAACUGGCAAGCUAGAGUACUAAAGAGGGUCGCGGAAUUCCCGGUGUAGAGGUGAAAAUUCGUAGAUAUCGGGAGGAACACCCGGUGGCGAAGGCGGCGACCUGGGUAGAUACUGACGCUGAGGUACGAAAG